UUUUCCCUGCGCUGUACGUGACCGAACAUGAUUCUUUGAGCCGAUACGAUCGACCAAGGAGGCUAGGCCCGUCCGUAGCCGACAUGCCUUCACAGGACGUCGAAAGCGGAGGGGCGGUCAUCCACCUGUUGCACAACAGGGUUCAAAGAACUCGUUCACCACGGCAGCUGCGGGGAAUUU
rnacentral:other from 1 species